UAGGAAGUGUUCUAAGAAAAAAAAAAACACCUCACUCUUCAACUCCUCAUCUUUCUUUUAUUUAUUUUUUUGGAGGGGGGCGGUGGGUUCGAGACAGGGCGUUUCUCUGUGUAGCUUUGGAGCCUGUCCUGGCACUCGCUCUGGAGACCAGGCUGACCUUGAACUCACAGUGAUCCUCCUGCCUCUGGCCUCUGGAGUGCUGGGAUUAAAGGCGUGUGCCACCAACGCCCGCUCCCCCUUUUUAAACUUUAUUUAUUUAAAUAUUUUGUCUUUCUCUAAGACAGAUCUCGAGUAGCCCAGGCUGACCCCGAACUGGUUAAGUAACAAACAACAGAUGACUGACGGCGGCGUCGACGUUUUGAUCUUGCCUCCACCUCUCCAGCGCUGGUCUUGCAGGGGGUUGCAGGGAAGGGUGAAGGACAAAAUGAAUGACCAUGACCUCUGUCCAUCCAAGAUGCCCUCUUCCUGGUAUGUGAAGGCUGAGAGAAUAAUGGGGUGGGGUCGGCNNNNNNNNNNNNCAGAGAAACUUCCCAAGAGGAAAAGAGGAUGAGAGGAAAUUGAUUAUAGUCUCUGAGCCUCGGGUUGUUUGUUUGUUUGUUUUUUUUUUCCUUUUCAUUUCUGACCCCUGAGUUUGCUGCCUCCUUUUCUUUCCCUCUCUCUCUCUCUCUCUCUCUCUCUCUCUCUCUCUCUC
rnacentral:lncRNA from 1 species